rnacentral:misc_RNA from 1 species
CCACACCCUGAUACGUAUCACCUUCGCUCUCAUGCACACGACAGCCAUCUUUUCGCGUACGAGCCGACAGUCGCCCACGCCCGCGCUAUAACAGAGCAAAGAGAGCUACGUCGUUAUAUACGCGUACGCAUGUAUUGAUUCCUUUCCUCUCGCCGACUUGCUCUCCCUCUCAAGCGCUCCGCCGCCCUCCCUCUCCCUGCUAAAGCAGGAAGCUACUACGAUGAAGAAAGCAAGGACACGGAAGAGCACCUUUUCCUCGCCUUCGAUUCUGAACGAACGAGGGAAGAGCGAGGCAGAGCGCUCAUGGAAAGUUUCUUGCAGCUUUAGUGCGGCUUGACUGAAUCCACGCCCUAUGCUUGAAGCAUCUCUCUUCCUCCCACCUGCGUUGAUACCGUUAUGAUGCCUGCAUAGCUCUCCACCUCUCCUCUUCUCUCUUCCGCCUCCGUGCGCGUGCUGAGCGAGCUCCUUAUGGUUGCCUGUUUCUCUCGCUCCCUUCUUCAACCUCUGAUCGCUCCUUUCCAUACUCGCUUCUCGCUGCUGGCCACUUCGACGACAG